AGGCUCGUAGUGCAGCCAAGGAUGACUUGCCGGUCCCAUUUUUUCCUAGUACAUUAUUAUGUAACAUGGUCAUCUUUUUAAGUACAUGAGGACUGACUGUGGGACCAGAGUCAAAUCGAUCGGCAAGUCGUCUCUGGCUACGUGACGGCCUGG
rnacentral:pre_miRNA from 1 species